GGAGGUACCCUGCACUGGUAAGUUUCAAUGGGGUAGGUAUUCCCGCUGUUCUGUAUACGCUCCGCAAGUACGUUUCUGCGCAGCAGAAGAGGGCGAGGGCGUAAAAUGACGUGCGCGGCGGCGUGCCGCGCUCCCAUUCGCCAAGGCCCCUGUCGCCUCCACGCGCGAACCAGAGAAAGGUAAACAGCAGGGAACCCGCCAUACGUUUUGUGUGUUUUCAGCUUUGCUAAGUGAUACGGUGUUAAACACCUGCUGCAUUUAUGACUGUACUUCGUCGCAUUUGGAUGUAGUGUCACUUAUUUCUUUCCAAAGCGCACACGGAUUCGCUGACGGUGGGAGAACGCGAUUAACUGUUGCUGCUGCUGUCGGGUUCAAACGGCAUUCUACGACCGGGGGAGUGUUUGUGUGCGUGUGUGUUGUGCAGUGAUUUACGUUGACCACAGAAAGUGUUCGAACACGGUGCACUCCCAAGGCUCUGCUUUCGUGACAGUGACGAAGAGCGCCGCGGCAGGUCACAGUUUAAUGUGCUGUUUUGAGUGGUCGCAUAGUAGUUCUAACGUCUAAUAUCAGUGGAACGAACCAGGAACGAGCAUGAUCAUUGUCUGUUCGGGUGCAACUGCACCAGGCUCCAGUUGCUUCACAGUGGAAGACGGAAGUUCGUACGCGUGCUGAGGCACGGUUGUCGUCGUCCUGUCGUUCACGAUUUACGAGUCGUUUGCACGGCACAUUGGGCAGACAGAGAAAAGAAAGUGCUGCUCCACCUCCACAAAGGAUGGAUGCACAUUGCAAGGAAGAGAAAGGGACUAAUUAGAGUAAUCAUCAGCUCAUAAAUGAGAAUAUUAUUGAUGAACAAGAUAAUUAUUACCCAGCAUGAGUAAUUCAUGCCCUUGCCCAUCUGCUGAAGGAGGUGCAUCUGACCUUUUCACUUGUGUAAGUGCUCAUCUUAUUACAGGUGUUUUACAAUAGAUAUAUUGGGAAGUGUAUACACACAUCUAUUUUAGGCAAGAUAUCCUUGUAGGCUCCGAAUUGUGAAUUACAUAUGACAGCAGUUUCUCAUAUAAGGCAACUACCCUUCUGCGAAGAAAAAAGAAAAAUCUAAAGUACAUGUACUGCACUCUAUGCCUCAGCCAGAUGCACUUCAAAAGGCGCGUCUCCCCCUGCUUUCUCAUGAAAAAGCAGAAAAGUGGGUGCCGAUAUGCCAUAUUCCUAUGCACUGAUAUGUUAAUGUAUAGCGACAGAUGAACUUCGAAUAACUGUUUUGUUUCCUGUUUAUAGGAGUUGGAAGUAUACGCCAGGUGAUAGUUGCAUUGGGUGUGUGGCAACCUUAUAAUGCAAGAAUGUACUUGUACCUGUGGCACCUUACCAGUUGUUUGAUGAUAUUAAGCACUGAAAGCUUCCUUUUUCUGUUCUUGCCAAUUUGUAUCAGAGACACAAUAAAUGUUUCUUAUUUAGA